UACGUAGGGGGCAAGCGUUGUCCGGAUUUAUUGGGCGUAAAGCGCGUGUAGGCGGCCAGACAGGUCCGUUGUGAAAACUCGAGGCUCAACCUCGAGACGCCGAUGGAAACCGUUUGGCUAGAGUCCGGAAGAGGAGAGUGGAAUUCCUGGUGUAGCGGUGAAAUGCGCAGAUAUCAGGAAGAACACCCGUGGCUAAGGCGGCGCUCUAGUACGGUACUGACGCUGAGACGCGAAAGCGUGGGUAGCAAACAGG
rnacentral:rRNA from 1 species